UUGAACGCUGGCGGUAUGCUUAACACAUGCAAGUCGAACGGAAACGAUACUAGCUUGCUAGUAGGCGUCGAGUGGCGGACGGGUGAGUAACGCGUAGGAAUCUGCCUGAUAGUGGGGGAUAGCCCGAAGAAAUUCGGAUUAAUACCGCAUAAUCUAUUCGUAGUAAAGUGGGGGACUUUCGAGCCUCACGCUAUCAGAUGAGCCUGCGUAAGAUUAGCUUGUUGGUAGGGUAAAAGCCUACCAAGGCGACGAUCUUUAGCUGGUCUGAGAGGAUGAUCAGCCACAUCGGGACUGAGACACGGCCCGAACUCCUACGGGAGGCAGCAGUGGGGAAUAUUGGACAAUGGGGGCAACCCUGAUCCAGCAAUACCGCGUGUGUGAAGAAGGCCUGAGGGUUGUAAAGCACUUUCAAUUGUGAAGAAAAGUUAGCGGUUAAUAACCGUUAGCCUUGACGUUAACUUUAGAAGAAGCACCGGCUAACUCCGUGCCAGCAGCCGCGGUAAUACGGAGGGUGCAAGCGUUAAUCGGAAUUACUGGGCGUAAAGCGUGCGUAGGCGGUUUAUUAAGUCAGAUGUGAAAGCCCCGGGCUUAACCUGGGAACUGCAUUUGAAACUGGUCAACUAGAGUAUGGUAGAGGAAAGUGGAAUUUCUGGUGUAGCGGUGAAAUGCGUAGAUAUCAGAAGGAACAUCAAUGGCGAAGGCAGCUUUCUGGACCAAUACUGACGCUGAGGUACGAAAGCGUGGGUAGCAAACAGGAUUAGAUACCCUGGUAGUCCACGCCGUAAACGAUGAUAACUAGCCGUUGGGGGGAUUUACCCUUUAGUGGCGAAGCUAACGCGUUAAGUUAUCCGCCUGGGGAGUACGGCCGCAAGGUUAAAACUCAAAGGAAUUGACGGGGACCCGCACAAGCGGUGGAGCAUGUGGUUUAAUUCGAUGCAACGCGAAGAACCUUACCUGGUCUUGACAUCCUGCGAACUUUCUAGAAAUAGAUUGGUGCCUUCGGGAACGCAGUGACAGGUGCUGCAUGGCUGUCGUCAGCUCGUGUCGUGAGAUGUUGGGUUAAGUCCCGUAACGAGCGCAACCCCUAUCCUUAUUUGCCAGCACAUCAUGGUGGGAACUAUAAGGAGACUGCCGGUGAUAAACCGGAGGAAGGCGGGGACGACGUCAAGUCAUCAUGGCCCUUACGACCAGGGCUACACACGUGCUACAAUGGGAAGGACAAAGAGCCGCGAAGCCGCGAGGUGUAGCUAAUCUCAUAAACCUUUUCGUAGUCCGGAUUGGAGUCUGCAACUCGACUCCAUGAAGUCGGAAUCGCUAGUAAUCGUAGAUCAGAAUGCUACGGUGAAUACGUUCCCGGGUCUUGUACACACCGCCCGUCAA
rnacentral:rRNA from 1 species